AGUGAACGCUGGCGGUAGGCCUAACACAUGCAAGUCGAACGGCAGCACAGUAAGAGCUUGCUCUUACGGGUGGCGAGUGGCGGACGGGUGAGGAAUACAUCGGAAUCUACUUUUUCGUGGGGGAUAACGUAGGGAAACUUACGCUAAUACCGCAUACGACCUACGGGUGAAAGCAGGGGAUCUUCGGACCUUGUGCGAUUGAAUGAGCCGAUGUCGGAUUAGCUAGUUGGCGGGGUAAAGGCCCACCAAGGCGACGAUCCGUAGCUGGUCUGAGAGGAUGAUCAGCCACACUGGAACUGAGCCACGGUCCAGACUCCUACGGGAGGCCGCAGUGGGGAAUAUUGGACGAUGGGCGCAAGCCUGAUCCAGCCAUACCGCGUGGGUGAAGAAGGCCUUCGGGUUGUAAAGCCCUUUUGUUGGGAAAGAAAAGCAGCAGGUUAAUACCCCGCUGUUCUGACGGUACCCAAAGAAUAAGCACCGGCUAACUUCGUG
rnacentral:rRNA from 1 species